CCUACGGGACGCACCAGGGGGGAAUAUUGCACAAUGGGCGCAAGCCUGAUGCAGCCAUGCCGCGUGUAUGAAGAAGGCCUUCGGGUUGUAAAGUACUUUCAGCGGGGAGGAAGGUGUUGCGGUUAAUAACCGCAGCAAUUGACGUUACCCGCAGAAGAAGCACCGGCUAACUCCGUGCCAGCAGCCGCGGUAAUACGGAGGGUGCAAGCGUUAAUCGGAAUUACUGGGCGUAAAGCGCACGCAGGCGGUCUGUCAAGUCGGAUGUGAAAUCCCCGGGCUCAACCUGGGAACUGCAUUCGAAACUGGCAGGCUGGAGUCUUGUAGAGGGGGGUAGAAUUCCAGGUGUAGCGGUGAAAUGCGUAGAGAUCUGGAGGAAUACCGGUGGCGAAGGCGGCCCCCUGGACAAAGACUGACGCUCAGGUGCGAAAGCGUGGGGAGCAAACAGGAUUAGAUACCCCAGUAGUC
rnacentral:rRNA from 1 species